CCUCCUUUCUAAGGAUGAGUGAAAGUAAAAUUUCACUCUAAAUAAUAUACAUCGGUAAUGUUGACCGUCCUCAUUUCUCUUCUUAAAGUAAUGUUUCCUUCUUGUAGGGCCGGUAGCUCAGUUGGUUAGAGCACACCCUUGAUAAGGGUGGGGUCGAAAGUUCGAGUCUUUCUCGGCCCACCAAAAACCUAAAUGGGGGAUUAGCUCAUCUGGGAGAGCGCCUGAUUUGCAUUCAGGAGGUAGCAGGUUCGAUCCCUGUAUCCUCCACCAGGAAACAUUUAGUUAUUAAAACUGUAAAUAAAAAUAAUUUAUAUCAAUAUCUAUAUCCGAACAUUAAAAGUUAUUAUUUAACGUUCAAAAUAAAAAUUUGAUCACAACAUAGAUNAAUUUUCUAUUAAAAGAAUUUUUUUCUGUGCAUAAAUCAAGCGUUUAAGGGCGUGUAGUGGAUGCCUGGGCACUGAAAGCCGAUGAAGGACGU
rnacentral:tRNA from 1 species